AGAGCGAACGCUGGCGGCAGGCCUAACACAUGCAAGUCGAGCGCGUGUAGCAAUACACGAGCGGCAGACGGGAGAGUAACACGUGGGAACGCGCCCUUCGGUUCGGAAUAACUCAGGGAAACUUGAGCUAAUACCGGAUACGCCCUUACGGGGAAAGAUUUAUUGCCGAAGGAACGGCCCGCGUCCGAUUAGCUAGUUGGUGAGGUAACGGCUCACCAAGGCGACGAUCGGUAGCUGGUCUGAGAGGAUGACCAGCCUCACUGGGACUGAGACACGGCCCAGACUCCUACGGGAGGCAGCAGUGGGGAAUAUUGGACAAUGGGCGCAAGCCUGAUCCAGCCAUGCCGCGUGGAUGAUGAAGGCCUUAGGGUUGUAAAGUCCUUUAACGGGAAGAUAAUGACGGUACCGUAGAAUAAGCCCCGGCUAACUUCGUGCCAGCAGCCGC
rnacentral:rRNA from 1 species